UAUCUCUGUAGAGUCUGCAUAUCAAUAAGCGGAGGAAAAGAAACUAACUAGGAUUCCCUCAGUAACGGCGAGUGAAGCGGGAAGAGCUCAAAUUUGAAAUCUUCAAGGUUCUACCUUGACGAAUUGUAGUUUAAAGAAGUGUUUUCUGUUGGAGUUUUGGUAAAAGUUCUUUGGAAUAGGACAUCAUAGAGGGUGAGAAUCCCGUAUUUGACCAUUAUUUCCAGCUUUGUGAUACACUUUCAAAGAGUCGGAUUGUUUGGGAAUGCUGUCCAAAAUGGGUGGUAAAUUUCAUCUAAAGCUAAAUACUGGCGAGAGACCGAUAGCGAACAAGUACCGUGAGGGAAAGAUGAAAAGAACUUUGAAAAGAGAGUUAAACAGUACGUGAAAUUGUCAAAAGGGAAGCGUUUGACACCAGUGUUGUUUUCUCGAAAAUCAAUUAAAAAAGGCAGGAUUUUGUGUUGUAUUGACUUUAUCAGCUUUCUGCACUCUUUUCUUGUCUUUUUUAGUGCACUUUUCGUUUAACAAGUCAACAUCAAUUUCUUUUGUUGUAAAAGGGUCAUUGGAAGGUGGCUUUCUUUUCGGAGAAAGUGUUUAUAGCCUUUGGCCUCUGCAAUCGGAGAGAUUGAGGUCUGCAGCGUAGAUCCUUCGGGGUUAGAUACAUUUGUGCUAAGUUAUAGCCUUUCAUAGACAACUUGUUGACUAUGAUCAGUCAUGUAGCUUACUCGCUUAUGCUAUUUUACCUACGCUUAGGAUGUUGACGAUCAGCUGAGCGCG
rnacentral:rRNA from 1 species